UGACGGUGGCUUUGGGGGCAGCCCUAGUGGAGGGUUUGGAGGUUCUCCAGCUGCAACUCCUUAUGGCAGAGGGAGUGGUGGAGCUUUUGGGUCUGGGGCAGAUAACUUUGGUGUUGCUGGUGGUGGCGAUGACUUGGGUGGCAAUGCUGGUUUUGGAGAUGAACAAUUUGGUGCAACUGAAAGUACUACUGGCAGCGUGGCUGAAGCUGGUUUUGAGUUGGAAGCAAAUGAGCGGGGUGAGAACGAAGAUGAUACCAACGACUUUGCUAAGAGGGCUUGAUAUCUGGUGAUGCCAACAUCAUUGUCUGCAAGAGUCUCCAGCUCAUUAGGCAUCCUCAAUUUGAACAGCUUGCUUUGUUUUUAAACAUUAUAGUCGUAGUUCCUGUCGACCUCUCAGUUCUCCUUCCGAUAUGUGUUGUCUGAAUUUUGCACUUGCCGGAUGCUGCAAGUGGAACUGGAGUCUGUUUGUAUUCCAGACAGAACAUAGCUUUGUCUAAAAUAAUAAGUACUCUCAAAGUUUACGUCUUUCCUGUCAUUAUAUUAUCAAUUACCAUCUCGCCUUCUGUUUGUCUAUAGUAAUCUUAGAAGAAACUUGCCCUUGAUUUCGAGCAAAGUAUUGAUAUAAGUCAGAAUAAUGAUCCCUGCUUGAAGCCCAGAAUACUAACAAUAAGGAAAACACAUCUAAAUCAGAAAAAGUUUUCCGUGAAUAUAUGUACAAAACUUCAGUACUUAAUAAAUGUCAACUAAUCCAGUUCCCCAGAUGAGAGAAUAUAUCAGUCAUCGCCUGAACACAGCAUCCUUUGUGCGUUUAUCACAGCGGGAGAGCCUUUCUUUGUCCUCUCAAGUAUUUGCUUUAUCAAUUCUUCCAUCUCCUCAUUCGAGUCACUGUCGUCUUCACUUCCUACGUCACUGUACUGCAGUUCUUGAAAUCUCUCUGAAUCAAUCAAUUCGCUAGUCAAGCGUGCUUCUGUUCUCGACUCCUCUUUAUGCUGUUUGUAACCAUCUCGACCCGGCACAUUCUGCUCAUAGAAUGCUAUUGGAGAAUAAUCCUCCCCCGACUCAUUCGUCUUGCUCAGCUCUUCAUAUGCCUCAUUGUAAGCAUCUAGAGCUUCCCCUGAAAGGUUCAUAACUACAGGCUGAGCUACAGAACUGAAGUCACCUUGGCAAACGGGACUUUGUUCCCCAGGCGAGUAUCUUAGCUCCCUGCUUGAAAGUCUCUGAACAACACUACCUCCCGACUCCAUAAGUAGCACCUUUCUCUGGCUGCUUUCUAGGGCUUUUUCGAGCUCUCUGAUGCGAGCCUCUAGCCUGGACUGAAUAACUUCAUGCAGACGCACGCAUAACUCUCUGGCUGAGACUGCAGUGUUUCCUGAAUGGGCUGUUGAGGUGCCACUUGCAUCUCGGUCCGGGCCAGAAAGUGAACCACCUUCCCUGACCCUGUCGACUUUCAAUUCACCUUGAGCAAAAUCUGCUACAAAGUCCGGAUCAAGCUGCAGAUAUGUAUUAGCCAACGUCAGGGUCUGCUAUGGAAAUAAGAUCAACAGAACAAAAAGUUGCUUACUUCGAUGAGAUCGGACAGUCUCCUCUCUAGACUUGAUGCACUAACGUUGAGCCCCAACCUCUCAAGUUCAGCUUCAAGCUCCGCUUCAAUAUUGCCAAUGUAUUCUGGAACCUUUGCCUUCUCGAUGUUCGAUUCUUGGCUCUCAUUUUCAAUUGACUUGUGUGCAUCUUCAGUAGGGAAAAGUGAAUUUGAAGCAAACCUGUCAGAGGAAUUAUCAUUUGUAGUAACCGGAGAUUCAUACUUCUCAUUGGCUAGCUCUUUCACUGUUAAUGCCUCCUUCAUCUCGAGUUCAUCUUGCAAAUCUUGAACCAAAUUCUUUGUCUGCUUUAACGACUCCUUUAGUUUGUCAACGUCUAUUUUGUUUGCAACAAGCGAAGACAUCACACCAAGAGAAAUCCCAAGAAAGAAUAAAACUUUCUCGUCAGUUGACCCUGAUAAGAGAAUAGCAUCAGAUGAGAAAUUAUUUUGAAUCAAAUGAGACUUGUGUCUGCAUAAGCUAAAAAGACUACUUCAUCAAGGGUGAAGUAAUAUACCUUGCUGUGGAUGACUGUUGCUGCUUGACUUUUUAUCCAACCUGGUUAGCUUUUGACGGUACUCCUUCCGUCUCUGAGACUUCCCCUCCUUUGCAGGGUUUGAACACCCAAAUUUAGGCAAUGGAGGGACACCAUAAACAGUUUCAUCCUUGUUCACACCACUUGCAUAAUCGAGGCUGGACCUACUAAUUACUUGACUACCGUUGGUUACGAUCAACGGUCUCAUAGCUGUUGAUGGUGAAGGAAGGGCACGGAACACAUACUCUUCCAUUUCAGUAUGCUCAUUCCAUAACUGAGCAAUGAGACAACUUUCAAGAGAACUUAUAGGUCUGAUAAGAUGAGUACGAGGAUAUGUUCUUCUCACAGAGCUUAUAUUACCCCUAGCAUCAUUAUAAAAGUCCAUUCCCCCACUACAAUGCUUCGUAGUAUAAUUAAUCAUGUCAGUAGUCGAGUCACUUGCUCCAGCUAGAGGUGCAUUCUGAUCCUGAUUUUCGACAUAACCACUAGCAGAAGCUGCACCUGAAUAGGCAUCUGAUCUGUCAUCCAAGCCUGCACUUUUACCAGCACCAGAAUCUUUCGGUAACUUGUUUCUGCAAAGUAACCUACUUAUGCAACAACUCGGGAUUUCAGAUUUCUCACAGCUUGAGACCUCAGUAGAGAAAUCUGAGCCAGGCUUGGAAUUGGGUUUCCACUGAUUGGCUAUGCAUCCAGCAGCAGCUGCUGCCGCUGCUCCAAAAGCCCAAAUAUCCAUUUUCUAUUCAUUCAACAGCAAAGAACACCCACUGCACCCCACAGAACUCUCGAAACAGGAAAAAUAAUCAAUUAUUUGCACUGGAAGAACUCUAAUCCUAACUAACAAGUCCAGCAUUAAACAUUGAUCAACUAUUCAGCAGCUCAAUUUGUCAACAUUCAACUGUUACCUUGCCCAAAGCCUCUUUCUUGACAACUUAAAUAGCUAAAAUCCCACAGGCAAAAACGAGAACUCAAACCUUUCAACAAGAUAACACAAAUCCAUCAGCAGCACAUUCUCAGAUUGACCCAAAUCGCUAAACCCCAUCAAAAGAAACAAUCUUUUUUCAUCAAAUCGCCACAGGCAGAGAAGUCGAAAAGAGGCUGCGAGAGGGGGUUUUUAUUAACCAAUCAUCACUGCACUAGCAAGGAAGAUGACGACGACAGAGGGGACUGCGUGUGAAUCUUGGUGUACGGAGGGCAAAGCAAGAAGCUCCUAUUUUGUUUAAACGCUGCCUGCCUGCCUCGCCACCAACAGCAGCUGAUCCACUUUGUGUGUUUCUUCUUACAAAGGAAAUAUAUAUAUUUUUAAUUACUAAAGGAAAGGGAAAACAAAAUAUCCUCCAACCACCGUCUUCAAAAUAAAGAGGGAAACAAAUAAAAUAUUUACCUAUAUUAAUUACUGAUUACCAAUUAGUCGUUGUUGGACGAUACCUUAAUACAGUGUAACGGUCCUAAUUGUAUUAAAUAGGCGGCGAAAAUAGUUGUUUUAUAUAAGACUAGUUGUUUGUUCGCGCUCCACGGCGUGGAGUUGAUUCAACUUAACAUUUCAUGUGUUUUAUUAUUGUUUAUACGUGUUGAAAUAUAUAUGAUAAAACAGUUUGGUUUCAUAAAAUUGUGUAUGGGCGAAGUUAACAAAAAAAAAUUCAUAUAACGACGGUUUAACACGCAGAAAGUAAGCUAAGUUUGAUAAUUUUCGUCACUAACAUAACACUAAGUAAAAUUAAUUUUUAACUUCAUUUGACAAUUAUUUAUAAGGAUUAUCAUAGUGAAAUUUGAUUUUUUAGCCUUUUAUUAAUUUUUCAAAUAAAAUAUUUACCUAUAUUUGAAAUGCCCAAACCCUGUAAAUAAUGACCAAACGAAGUUAAAAAUCAAAUUUACUCGGUGUUAUUUUAACGUGUUAAAAAUGUUUUUUUAACUCCGUUAGACUAUUAUUUGAAAGGUUUAACAUGGUCAAACUUUAAUUUUUAACCUUUUCAAAUAUUUAUGUCAAAUAUUAGCCAAUUUAAAUUUUUUAAAUUUUGAUAUGAAAUUGGUCAAUUUCUAAAGAGAAUACCUAUAAAAAUUUGACCAUUUUCACAAAAAAAUUUCAAAAUUUUCAAAUCAUUAGGAUUUCGUUUUUCCAGAAAAUAAAAUGAGAUGGGGGUGUAACAAUGUUUCCACUUGUAAAAUGCACGACUUGAUUCAUGAUCUUGCAGUCUCGAUAGUCGGGUCUACACAUAAACAAGUAAGUGCCCCUACAGACAGAAUCAGUGUUGAAGAGUUGAAGCAUCUUAGGUAUAUUGAUCUUUCGAGUUAUGAAUGAAGAUGACGACGGCUGGGUUAUGAAUGAAGCUACUACUACUACUCUAAAGAGUCCAUCCCGCCCGUUCUUCCCUUCGCUUGAGUUUCUUCUACUGGAUGAUUGUCCCAAGCUGAAGGGAUGGAAGGGGUGGGAACAAGUCAUCCCAUCAAUUCCCUAAGCUUUCAGAACUUUUCAUAGUUGGAUGCCCUCAGCUGACAUCAAUGUCAUCUUUCCCAACACUGGCGAAGAAGCUCAUACUGAGGGACAAUAGCCUACAUCCUCUAAUACACACAAUGAACUGUGUGUCGUCAUCUCCCUCUUCUUCAAACGAAGUGGACGUCGCCCAGUAUCCAUUGUUGAAGCUGAAGAAGCUGGACAUCCAGAACAGUCAUUAUCCCCCAAAAGACUGGCAGCAGGGAAUGCAACAGCUCACCUCGAUGCAAGAGAUUAGCAUUGCCAACUGUUUGGGGUUGGAGGAGACAACAUUUCACAACAUUUCCCGCCGUAGCACUCCUGGAUUUGGGCUAUCAUCAACAUUUGCAAAUUCUAGUCGAUGAUCUAUUUUCAAAGACAUUCUUCAGGACACGCUAUCAUUCCAGACAGUUUCGUUUUUCUUCGCAUCCAACUUAUAAUAGAGUUGUACGACACUUAUGUUGUGGGAUAUUCAAUUCAACCUCAAAUUAAUGAAAGAGGCAAUGGGUGCAGUUGGACACGUCGUGAUGUCUUUUCUUUGAAGAAAAGCUCAUCAAUUAUUAUAAGUGGAAUCAAUCCCAUACUAAAUACUGAUGACCUAUUCCAUAGAAUUUAUAAGGUCUGCGAAAUUCAAAACCAGCCAAUCUGCUUUUGCAGCAACUGCCUCUCGGAGCUGCACCCCAGCAUAGCAUAUGAACAAGUCCGCGCCACCUGGUUUUCGAGCCUGCAAGUAAAAGCCCAGAUAGGAUGAUCGUUGGUUGAACUAAAAAAUAAUCAGGAUAGCAUACGAAAAAUGUAUACCUCGAGAUCAGUUGCGCCAUCCCCAAUCAUUACCAUCGCUUUGUACCCACGAGCCUGGUUGAACAUUACAAUCAGUAGUUUUUUUGACGCCAGCAAUUAUUAAGCAACGAUAUACAUAAGCAUGGAGUGCAAGACUCUGAGACUGACCUUUCUUAUUUGCUGCACAGCUGUUGCUUUCCCUCCACUCCUCGAAGUAGGCUCAUUUGAGUCAAAACCUACAAACUCCCCUGAACUCCCAAAUAGAAGGUUGUUGGCAAAUAUGUUUUCAACUGGAAUCCCAAGGACUGAGGCAACAGGCUGCAAACAAGAUAUUUUGAUUCAGAUGAAAUUUCCCAUCCAAGUAUCACGGGAAUCUUUAGACACGCAUGCUAAAAACUGAAGCAAGCUAUGUUGUGUAGUAAAAUACAUUUAUCAUUUGCCGAAAGCCACCAGAUAUCAGGUAGACAUUGGUGUUCUUGGCCUUGAGCUUCUUCACUAACUCAUCUAUGCCAGGAGAAAUCCUACAAACAAAAAUUACGAACCACUUGCUCUGUGAAUAGAGACAGCAAGCAUUCCCCAUACUAACUAACAGGGUAAUUGCAGAGAAAACUAUCUACUUCCACAUUCGGGCAGAAUCUCAGAGAAAGUGAAUAAUCGUUGAAUUUAAAAUAUAAUUAACAUGUGUGAAUCCAGGAGUAGGCUAAUAAAAGAAAAAAGUUUCGAAGUUGUGAUCAAGAAAGGGAAGACUCACUUGGGAGGCCUCUUCUCCAAAAAUUCUUGGAGUUUGGCUAUAGAAGGUUUGAAUAGCGAUAAUCUAGCAGCCAAUGCCUCUUCAAAAGGAACAGAGCCUCCCAUUGCCCUGAUAAGACAACAUUCAAACAUAAGAUUGAUGAUUCUAGCAAUUACAACGCAAAAAAAGGAGAACCAAACCUUGCUGUCCAUUCUGCGACAGCCUCGCCAGCUCCACAGAAGUCUGCAAGUUCAUCAAUGCCUUCAUCAAGGCACACAGUGCUAUCGACAUCAAAGCACACCGCGUCAGCACUUCUCCAAAGGUGAAGCACUUCUGUUAAAUUAUUAGACAUUAAAGUUAGAACAAUCUGAGCACAACAUCCUCAGUAUUGAGGAGCAUAAAAAGUGCCAGUCUUUCCCCAAAACUCUUGCCAGGACAUUCAGUAGCAUGAGUACGACCAUAAACACGUUAACCAAGACUACAAUCAGACUAGAACAUAAAACAAUUCAACCAACUUAAAGAAAAAGCUCCGGGUUACUGCUAACCUUUAGAUGGCAUUGUGUUAUCAAACUGGCCCAGUGAGGUCGUUAUUGGUUCAACUGCAGCAGCAACCUGAUAGAAUGACCGAUGCUGUUUCUUGGUCAUGUCACAUCUUUGUAUUACCUUCUUCCGCAACUGCAGGAAAAUGGCAGGAACGGAAGAAGAAUUACGCUGCCUAUUCGAAGGAUAAACUGGAGUAAUGGUACGUAGCUGCACCAAGCCUUGCAUAUCUAUCAGCUGCGAAGAAACAAAAAACAAGGAAACAAGCACGAGCAUGACAGUCCAUUCCAUUCACGUUCCAUCUUUCUAGGCUUUAUACGGAAAAGUUCAAUCAAACCCAGGCUAGAUAAAUCAAUUAAGCCAUGCUAGUUUUAACCAACUGAUAUAUAAACGCUGCUCCUAUUAAAAUGACAAGAGCACAAACUAGGACUCAUCUUUUUUAAAAAACUCGAUGCCUCGGAGAACACACAUUUCUAUCAAACACCAAAAAGCGGAAAUCUUUCGAUUAAGAAGAAAUGUAGUUGCAGCAAUUGAUAGCAGCGGCAGGAAUAGUUGCAAAAUUCUCGUGAUGCCAGGAAAAUAUAAUGAAUAACCGCUGCGAGGAACAGAGCAGAGAAGAAUGAUAGAGCACAAGCAGAAGAAAGAAGUUAGUGAAGUACCGGCAAGGGUACGGUGUGGACGGAAAUGGAAGAGGGUCGGAGCGGGACGGAAGAAGUGGAGGGAGGUGACGGUGGAGAAAAAGAAACUAGCUUUGACGGCGGGUUUGGGAUUGCUGGUCCGUUUGGCUUCGAUCUUUGAUUCAGGAUUGUCUCUGUUUUGUUCUUCAGAUCUCUGUAUUCUGUAAUGGUGAUUUGGGGGUUGGUGAACUGGUGACAAGUAUUUUUUGGGUUUGCUUUUUUUUAUAGCUACAGUGUAUUGAUAGUACAUAAUCAACCAAAAUAAAAAAUCAAAAUAGUGUUAUUAAUCGUCAAAAAUAAUUAACUACCUUCGUGGCAAAAAGAUAACUACUUUGUCGUCAAACCUACACUUUCUUCUCCACUUUCUACUUGCUGCCGCCGACAGUGCCACCAGCUACCAAGAUUAGCCAUUCCCCGUCACCGGACCAGAGGGACAACUCUAAUCUUAAUAAAAUCAACCAACAAUUCAAUUUCUAAAGCCUAACAACUGCCAGCUGCUACUAAUCAGCUGGGAAAAGGAAAAAACUGUGGGUGGGCACCGACAGCUACGAAUUUUUCAAUCCUGGAUCGCCCUUCUUAUUCCCUUCUCCGGCGAUUUUCGCGAUUCUGUCUCUUUCCUCCGUGCUCAGAAUCUCGUCCUUGACAAUCCUAACCUUCACCACCGACGAGAACCCUCUGUCCCCUCUGGCUAUUGCAAUCGGCUCGGCCCAAUCUGUGAUCUUCCGCUGCAGCACAGCGAGCACUCCUGGCUCGACCAGGUUGGUGCUCUUUAGCGCUUCAGCUAGGUAGAGCUCUGCCCAGGCGGAGAGGGGAAACACCACCGGAAUCCGGAGGGAGCUCGAGAGCUCCGGGGUCACUACAUCCUCCACCACCACAAGCUUGCCUUCGUUGCAGAGGAACCUAAGUUGGUACCGGAACCGAACGACCAGGCGGAUGAUGCAAGUCGGGAAGCCGGAUGAGGUUUGGCUGGCAGCAAGUUGGGCGGCGGAUCUCACGUCGGUUUCCUCGUUGAUGUCAACGGCGUACCCGACUUUGACUGUCAUUGGCCGAUUAGGUAUAAUGGCUUCCAGAGGAAACUUUUCCACGGAGAGGCGUGCGUGAGAUUGAAGAGGUAAAGUACUAAGCAAGGAGAAUUAACAGUUUUCCAAAACGUCGUCGUCUUCGACUUCAAGGUGGCUAUUAUUAUCUUCUCUCAGGAAGCAUGAACGUUGACCGAGGAGUUUAAACUUUAAAGUGGGUCCGAACUCUUGGCCCAACAAAAUUAGUUUCCACCCCAUAACUCGCAGGCCAGUCCCGCAAUGUAUCACCUAGGCCUUAUCAGUGUUGGUCUGGGCCUUUUCCAGAGGUUGUUUUGGAAGUAAUGGGCUUGAACUCUGGCAUCCUAUUCCUAAAUUUUGGCCCAUUAAUUUUGUAUUUUUACUUUAUUAUCAUUGACCCAGAUAAUAAAAUCGAAGAAAUAUUUUCCCAACAUCCCUCACAUAUCAUGUAUUUUGCAGCAAUGAUGAUUCUCUCAUAUAUGUGGCAAUUAUAUAAAAAGAAACUUUUGCACUUGAACUCUUGAAUUUAUUUCCCAUCCAUGGUGAUUAAUACAUGAUGUGACUUAUAAAUGUGGAUUGAGGUUGUUCCACAUAAAAGAAAGAACUUAAUCAAUCCAAUCAAAUAGAUCUCAACCAUUAGAUUAAUCAAAUGGUUGUUGAGCAUAAUCAAACUAUAUAUACUUUAUAAAAACUCCCACAAGCUUACAUUUGCGGCAAAGGGGUCUGUGUUGAUGAAUGGCAUGAAAGGCUCAAAGGCAUAUUCAAGUCAUUAGUAAUUAGACUCCAAAAUGCAAGUUUUCCUAGCUUGAUCUCAAAUUCUAAAGCAGCAGCAACUAAGUAGGUAGCAGAAUCACAUGCUAAGAAUGCAGAACCAUAUCUGAACAUCACACUCAACUCAAUUUAGCUUUUCCCUAGCUCGUCCACCUUCUUCAACAUUGAACUGGGCUACAGAAGAAAAUGCUUGUGAGAAGGUAGUAAAGGUGGCAAUAGCAGCAAGAACGAGAGUGAUCAGGGAAGAGGAGAGUGUGGGGAUAGCAGUAGCAGCAGUAUCACUCAUGUCUGUGAUUCCAUCAGGUCCCGAUGCCCCGAGACCAGUACCACUACUUGCAGUAUUUCCAACCCCUCCUCCCAGCCCACCUCCGUUGGCAUUAUAUGGGUUGUUGAUGUUUGGGACUGUGGUGGUUGUGCCUGUUCCUACUCCUGGGUUUUUGCUUGUCCCUCCUGUUGUUGGGUUGCUCACUGUGUUUGAUGCGCUGGAGGGAAACACCAAAUUAAACACAGCAAGUUGAGUUGGUAUCAAAAGGGACCACUUAAAAUUAAAAAUGAGUCUCAUUUCACAAAGACCAGUUAUAUAGUACUUCCAUUGUUAACAAUAACAAAAUAACUCAUUCCAGCUGCAACAAAGUCUUGAUAAACAUCCUAGCUAGCUACUUUCUGCUCAUUUCCUACAACUUGAUGCAUAUGCUAAACAUUUUUGCACUUGGAUAGCACAACAACAAGGAGCCUGUGUACUCUAUGAAAAUCGAUAUAGAGAUGAACCAGAAUCAAGUGUUGCAGCAGUAAAAUUGGUCCCGUAGUGUACGUAGCUUCAUCAUUAAUAAUCAAUUGUUUCCUUUAAAAGAUGAUGGUACCCACAAGCGUGCCCGGUUCUCUCCAUCAAUAUAUAAAGUCCAAAAGGAUGGUCCAUAUCUCGAAAAGAUUGUCCAUCUCAAGCCCCAUACAUACUGUCUUGUUACCCUACCACAUUUAACAAUUUUUCUACCCUCAAGGCUCAAGCAUAGCUAAAGCUUGUUCAAAUGUAAACACCCUCCUGCUUUUUACCUUUAUGACCAAGCCCCAAUAAAAGCUGUGAAGGGUUAAUCACUGUUGAUGCGAUGAGCCAAGUCAUACACAAGUAAUAAACUGAAAGUGAUGGGACUCCUCUAUUUGGCCCUAGCUAUGGAAGAAUCAAACUGUGCUUAAUGGUAACUUUACAUGAUUAGAACUGUUGCUAGCUAGGAGGGGAUUAACUUGUAGUAAUUGCAACAGACCAAAACUUGAUGACUCGGAAGCUGGUUAAGUCUAUUGUAAUAGCAAUGGACCAGAACUUAGAUGACUAGUACAUAGUUGAAGAACAGGUAAGAGCAGGGUUCAACAAGUAAGAAAAUAAAAAGCCAGGUCUUAAAGUACAUCUUUAUAUUUGAAUUCUGGUUCCGACCAACCCCUGGUGAGCAAGUUGAGCAUGGAUGCCAAUGCUAUGAGUUAACUAGCUAGCAUUGUCCAUGAAUAAAUAAAUCAGCUGCUUAAUUAUUAUACUCUAAACCAGUUAGCAUUAUCUAUAUAUGUAUUCAGGAGGGAGUGAAUCUUUUAACAGUCGAGAGAUUCCCAGGUCAGUGUCAGACAAACAGAGAUUGCGUUGAAACGUGCUAGCCAGCCAUUUCAAAUAUAUUCAAUAAAAUAAACAGUAGCUAGCACUAACUAGCAGGCCUAAUUGAUAAAAAAGUAUCAGUAGUAAAUAAAUUACCUGGCAGAAGCAGGGAAGGAACAGCCAUUAACGCCUACAAGGAAAUCAAGGAUGCAACUACUAGGUAAGAAGCGUACACUGUAAUUAGGAAAUGAAUUAGAAAUAGGUAGGCAGGGGAAGUAGAAACUGAAAGUAAUAUACUUUACUUACUGGGGUCAGAGGUAGAGAUGGUGGCGGUGGCGGAGAAAUCGCAGGAGCCUUGAGACUGGCCUUUCUUCUGGAAAUAGCUGUUGACGGCGUAAGAGCAAUGAGCUCUGACGGUGUUGGGCUGGAAACAGGGUCCGUUUGGGUGGGUCGGGUUACAGUCAGCACCAGCUCCACAAGCAUAGUCCAGAGUCUUCUGCAACACCGCAUCUGGCAUGUCCUUGCAUACGCACCAUGUGCACCCUAGUAAUAUAAUAGUUAAAACCAAACUACUCUGGUUACUUACUUACUUACUUAUUCAGGAAAUGCAUGCUAGAGGAGAAAGGAAAUUAGUAAGGACUACUACUUACUAGCGGGGCCAGUCAUGGCCAACAUGAGCAUUCCAAAGAGAAGCAUAACUGUAGCCAUUUAAUUAGAGCUAGUUUGAGAACAAGAUUAGCAAUGUAAAGGAGAAAACUUGAGAAAGAGAUGAGAUUGAAACAGAGAGAAAGUUAUGAUUUAUAACAGAUAGAAAGAGAGAUAAGAUUGGGGAGCUUGGUUGGUGCUAUACAGCUACGUACAGGAGAGAAUAGGUUGGGACUCCCAGAAAACAGAGAGGGAUAGAGAUUGGUGUUCCGUUGGAGAGAGUGAAUAAUUAUGGAAGAGUUGGGAAAGACUAUAGCUUUUUGUAGCUAACUCUACCAUUCUUCUUGCCAAUAUUCAUUGCCUUACUUACAUUUCAAAUUUUUGUCGUCCUAAUGUUAUAAAAGAAUAUAUGGGCACAUUUGUUUAAGGGGAAUGUAAAAUAAAGGAAAAAUAAAAAUGUGAAAUUGAGGAAUCGAAAUUUGUGAAAUUGGAGAGCAAAUUUAAAUAUAUUAUUUGUUGUUAAUAAAUUUAAAACUCGUUAUAUCUAAAUAAAUAAUAAGGAAAUAAAAUUAUUUUUGUCAUUGACUAAUUUUAUCCCUGAAUUGGUUCAACAAAACAAGAAUAUUAUCCAUAUUUCGAUUAACAAUUAAAACAAAAAGAUCUUAGGCUUAAUAUUAAAAAAUUCUAACAUUUUAUUUUUCUUCACAAUCGAUAUUAUUGUUGGCUUUCAUCAAGAUUAUUGGUGUGGGUCACAUGACAAAAGACCGGAACAAUAAGAUAACAUCAGCCAACAAUAAAUGAAAACUCAAAAUUUUAUACUAUAUAUUUCAAAAUUACAAAUUAGAGAGAAAAGAUGAGACUAAAAAAAUAUAUUUUUGUACAACUCUAACCCAUUUAAUACAAACAAACAUAAAUUUCUUAAAAACAAUUUUCAUAAAAUUUCCCCCAAUUUCCCUUGAACAAACAUGCCAUAGUCUUGUCCCCUUUGAUUUCGAUAGUACGCAAUACACAAGUUGGAGCCAGAUCCAACCCUCGUCUCCAACACAGCGGCUUUUAUUAAUACUAGUAGUCUAGUAAGCUGUUUUUACUUUUCUUUACAGUCUCUUGUUUUUUACCUUUUUACCGUGGGUUUUAUGUGGGCCAAAGUGAAUGUAGGAUGAGCAAGCGGGCCAAAUUAGAUCUACAGGCCCAAGUUGCAGUAACCGAGUUGAGUUGAGCUAAUUACCGGUUCAAGCACUUGAUUUGCUGCUUGAAUUUUCGACCUCUCUGUUUCCAUUACUGUGGCUGUAUGAAAUCUGAAAGCCAUUGCAUACGUCGCUUAGCUAAUUACUUUCCUAAUCGCAAUCGAUGAAGUUGGAUUGAACUGAAAAGUUUUAGUUGGAUCAAAGGGUUGAAUUGGAUUCAGGAAAUGCUGAUUAAUUAGCUUGAGCUCUCAAGUAAAUAGAAUCUCUGGGCUUGGUGUGUGAGCUACAGGAAACAGAGGGCAUCGAGCUCUUAAGUAAAAUAUGUGGGAUUGGUAUGUAAGGUAACUGGGUUUUUUCAGGUGAUGGGUUUUGUUAUUUCUCGAUCAAGUUUCAAGCUCUGGGGUUCUUUGUCUUUCAGUUUUAGGUUCUUCAUUGAUAUGCUAGAAGUGUGCUUGAGACUUCGGCCAUGGCUAUGGUUCAAGCUCUGCAACUCCCCUUGUAUUUCUAUUCUUUCAGUCUACUGCCGGCUCAGAAGUCAGAAUAUGAAUAAGCUGUUGCGGAAACAAGAAUAAGGAUUUCAUUGAAUCUGACAAAACAGAGGAAAGUGAGGCAGAGAAAUGGUGUGUGCAAGCUUGCAUCACAGCCAUGACUGAACUCUUUAUUUAUAUAAGCAUCAACGGUAAAAAAAUCGGAAUGUACUGUUUUACAACGGUAAUAAAAACAGUGCAAUUGAUAAGCGUAAACGCUGCGUUUUAGUUAAACGCUUCCUCCAUCCAUCUAACGAGCUAACGGUCUUAUGACGCCGUUACUGAAGUCCAUCCUUACUCUGUCUUCAUUCCCAGCAGUAGCUUCAUGAAUGCUGCUUUCUCCAGUAGCUGCUGCUGCUUCAUUCUCCUUCUUCAAUAUGCCCCCACAAGUUGAGGAGUAUAUGUCAAUAACUCCCAACUUGGCAAUCAAGAACUUUAAUCGAACACGAUGCAUUCCUUUCGUGAACAAAUCAGCUGGUUGAAAUUCAGUUCCAACAUGAAAUAACUUCAACAAUCCACACUUCACACGAUCCCUGACAACAUGGCAGUCAAUCUCUAUAUGUUUGGUUCUUUCAUGAAAAACGGGAUUUUCUGCUAUGUGUAUAGCUGAGCGAUUAUCACAAUAGAUCGAAACUGGAGUGGGAAUGAACACCCUCAGCUCUGCAAGUAACAAUUUUAACCAAUCAAUCUCACAUGACAAAUGGGCAAGAGCCCUGUAUUCAGCCUCUGAAGAGGAUCUGGAAACAGUACUCUGCUUCUUUGAUUUCCACGUGAGAAUUGCACUUCCCAAGAAUGUACAAUACCCAGUAACAGAACGUCGAGUGUCUGGACACAAUGCCCAGUCUGAGUCACUGUAGCCAGACAACACAAGUUCAUUGUGAGCUGAGUAAAACAACCCCUGCGCUGGAGCUAAUUUGAGGUAUCGCAGCACCCUGUAUGCUGCUUGUAAAUGUGUAUCAGUAGGUAGCGCCUGAUAUUGACUCAACUGCUGUACUGGGAAUGCUAUAUUUGGACGUGUGAUAGCCAGAUAGUGUAGCCUCCCUAUCAGCCUCCUAUAUACCUCAGGUUCUGCAAGUCUAACUCCCUGGUUGGCUGAGAGUUUUGAACUGAACUCCAUGGGAGUGUGUGAUGGCUUGGCCUCAAGAUACCCUGUAUCCUUCAACAACUCAAAACAAUAUUUCCUUUGUGAGAUUGUAAUUCCCUUAUCAGAACGGGCAACUUCUAGUCCAAGAAAAUAUUUCAGAUUUCCCAAGUCCUUAAUCUUAAACUGCAUCUUGAGAAAGGACUUGACUUCUUCCAACUCCUGCACAUCAUCUCCAGCAAGGAUGAUGUCAUCUACAUAGACCAAUAGAGAGGUGGUACUGCUCUCAGAAUGCUUAAGGAAGAGGGAAUGGUCUGAAGCAGACUGGGUGAAACCAUUCUGCAUUAAAGCAGUGGUCAGCUUAGCAAACCAUUGUCUGCUUGCUUGUUUGAGUCCAUAAAGGGACUUCCUGAGUUUGCAAACAGAACCAGGAGGUGCAUUCAACCCCAACGGGACUUCCAUAGACACAUCUUCUUCCAAGUCUCCAUGCAAGAACGCAUUUGACACAUCCAUUUGAUGUAAUUCCCAAUUUUUCACUGCUGCAACUGCAAGUAAAGUUUUCACAGUGUUGAUCUUUGCUACUGGGGAGAACGUAUCCAGGAAAUCAAUUCCAUACGUUUGAGUGUAGCCUUUCGCCACCAACCUUGCCUUAUACCGUUCUACUGCUCCAUCAGGUUUAUAUUUUAUCUUGAACACCCACUUGCUACCCACAAUCUUCUGUCCAGGAGGCUUAGGAACAACGUCCCAAGUAUGAUUCUCCUGUAAAGCUCCCAACUCUUCCUUCGUUGCAAGAUCCCAACAUGGCUCUUUGACAGCCUCAUGGUAUGUAUCUGGUUCCUUUUGAGUGAUGAUACUAAGGGCAAAAGCUCUAUAAACUGGGAAGAGAUUAUCAUAUUUGAUAUGUUUAGAGAUGGGGUGUUUAGAAUAAUGAGACACAGAUGCAGCAUUUAGGUGAAAGUCCUGAAGGUAGGUGGGUAAGAAUUUGACUCUAUUGGAACGUCUAGGCAUUGGUUCUGGGUUAGGAGAAGAGAUGGGAUGUGAAUCUGAAUCAGAGUGGUCAGACGAUGGUGUUGAUUCUGACUCAAUGUGUAACUCUGGUUCAGUAUCAAGUGAGUGAGAGAGAUCAGGAAUUGGUGGUGAUAGUGGUUGAGAAGGUUGGAAUGAAGGUGAUUGAGAAUGUGUUUGUGUUUCUGGAUAUAUAGGAGAAAUGAAAGAUGGUGGUUGGGAUAAUUGGCCACCCUCAAAAUCUGCAUGAGGGAAGUCAGCAGAGGUUGGAAUGUCCAGAGAUGAUGUAUGAAAUGGUAAAAUUGUCUCGUAGAAUCUAACGUCUCUAGAGAUAAAAAAAUGAUGAGAAUGGAGGUCAUAUAGCUUAUAGCCCUUAAUACUAAUAGGAUGUCCAAGGAACACACACUGUCUUGCUCAAGAUUGAAACUUAGUUCUUCCAUGUGACAGUGUGGAUGCAUAAGCAAGACAACCAAACACCCUCAAAUGGUCAAGGCCACAAGCAUUACCAUGAAGCAGCUCGUAAGGCGUUUUAUUGUUUAUGGCUAUGCUGGGAAGCCUAUUUAAUAAAUGAACAGCAUGAGUAACAAAAUCACUCCAAAAGGACAAGGAAAGACCAGACUGGAACUUUAGAGCUCUAGCAAUGUUCAGGAUGUCCUGGUGCUUCCUCUCGACUCGAGCAUUCUGCUCAGGAGUAGCCACACAGCUCAUCUCAUGCAAUAUGCCAUGCUUAGCAUAGUAAUCAACCAUGUGAAACUCUGCUCCCUGAUCACUACGAAUGACACGAACUGAACAUCCAAACUGAGUGUUCACGAAUUGACAAAAAUCCUCCAGCCUAUUUCUUGCUUCAGACUUAUGCUUCAGCAAGUACAGCCAAACACCACGGGAAUAAUCAUCCACCACAGUAAGGAAAUAAGAAAAACCAUCAUGUGAUUUAACGGAUAAAGGACCCCAAAUGUCGACAUGAACAAGAUCAAAAGCUUUAUUAGCUCGUUUCUCACUAGAAAGAAAAGGAAGUCUCUUGUGUUUAGCAAAAUGACAAGUUUCACAGUGUUUUAUUGUUUCCUUGAUGCGGGCAGCAUUACAAGAGUCUAAAGAUUGAACACGAGAAUUGCUAGGAUGACCAAGGCGCCAGUGCCACAAAUGAAUAGGCUGAGACUGAAAAUUGUAGGUGACAGCCACAGUGGGAUUAUGAGAGGGAACUUGAGAAGGGAGAAGUUGGUAUAGACUUCGAAUCUGGUUAGCCAAACCAAGAGUCGUCAUGGAGGUAUGGUCCUGAAUGGAACAAGAUUCAGAACGAAAUAUCAAGGAAAUGUUGUGUCCACUGGUCAAUUUGCUGACAGAAAUCAGAUUAAAAGCAAAGCUAGGAACACACAGAACAUGCGUGAGGAUGAGACUAGAGGAGAGGCGAACAGUGCCUAUAUGACUGACAGGUACUUUUGUGGAGUUCGGUAGGUAAACAAAAACAUUUGUCACAGCUUGAGACUCAAUGAAAUGCAACAGUGAGCAAGCAAUGUGAUCAGAGGCUCCAGUAUCAACAAUCCAGUAACUAUCAUCAUGUGGUUUGGAGACGGAGUUUAGUGCAUACGUACCUGCAUAGUGAGGCCUCUCAGGUUGAUUUUGUGAGACUGCAAAUGCACGAUGUGGAUUCCCAGUAGAAGUGCUUCCACUGCUUGAUUGUAGCAUCAGCUUCAAUUGCUGCAUUUCAGCGCUGGUGAAGCUUACUGCUGUUUCUGCCACGCUGGAAUCUCUGGAAGAUGAUCCACUUGACUCAAUUUCCUCAUUCUGGGAUGCAGAACCUGCAAAAGGACCUCCUGCACCAGGUUUUGCAGGAAACCUGCCUUCUGCAGCCUCCUUCUUCUUCUUGGCUUUGAGCUUUAGACAAUCUUCAAUGUAAUGAUUGUCCUUCUUGCAGUAUCUACAAAAUUUUUUACUGCCAUCUCCAGAUGCUGCAAAAGCCACAGGGGUAGAUUCAUUCUUCUUCACACCAAGAUGUCCCUUUAGUUUUUCUUCAUGCUGUAGUGCAUUAUUGUAUGCAUCCAGUACACUAGGAAGGGAACGCAUCAUCAGUAAUUGGGUCUUCACAACGUCAUAUUCUUCAUUGAGACCCCUUAAAAACCUGAUCAGAUAGUCUGUUUCUUGUUUGGUCUGGAAUGCCACGACUGCUGGACAUGGUAAGGGAUUUCCAGGUGCACAUGAGCAUGGAACUAUGGGUGAGAACUGUGAGUACUCUUCCCAUAGCCCCUUAAUCGUAGUGUAGUGUUGUGAAACGCUGUGAGUGCCCUGUUUACACGCGUGAAUCUCAUCCUGUAGAUUGGCCAGUCGUAUAGCAUUUCCAAUCCCAAAUCGAGUUUUCAAUUCAUCCCAUAGAUUCUUAGCUAUCUCAUGGUUCAUCACACUCCUUUUAAUAUCAGAAUCGGGAGUAUUAAGGAUCCAGCAUAAGACUAAGGUAUUACAGGCAUCCCAUGAUAUAAAUCCAGCAUCAUUAGCAUCGGGUAUCUCUAUUGAACCAUCAACAAAACCCAGUUUAUGCUUCGUCUUGAGUGCAAAUCGUAGAGAACGAUGCCAGAUCUGAUAAUUUGUCCCAUCAAGUAUAACAUUCGAGAUGGAUUGAGAUAGAUUCUCAUUAGGGUUCAAGUAUAGCGGAUUACCAAACUGAAUCGGAGAUGGAUUUCUACUGACAUGGAGAGUAUCGUCAGUUUCAUCCUCGUCUUCAUUAGAGAAGUUCCCGAAGGUAACUCCUACUGAUCCCCGUCCUCUUCCUCCAGAACCUUGCGACGGUGAGGUGAGGUCGACCAUCGCUUAGUAUGCGACGAUGAUUCGCUCUGAUACCAUGACAAAACAGAGGAAAGAGAGGCAGAGAAAUGGUGUGUGCAAGCUUGCAUCACAGCCAUGGCUGAACUCUUUAUUUAUAUAAGCAUCAACGGUAAAAAAACCGGAAUGUACUGUUUUACAACGGUAAUAAAAAUAGUGCAAUUGAUAAGCGUAAACGCUGCGUUUUAGUUAAACGCUUCCUCCAUCCAUCUAACGAGCUAACGGUCUUAUGACGCCGUUACUGAAGUCCAUCCUUACUCCGUCUUCAUUCCCAGCAGUAGCUUCAUGAAUGCUGCUUUCUCCAGUAGCUGGAGCUGCUUCAUUCUCCUUCUUCAAUAGAAUCAAUCACUUAAUCGUUGCUUAUCAUUGAUGAAUAUGUGUUCCUUCGAAACUUUUAAAUCCUAGUUUUGCUGAUUCAAGCUUUCCCCGGCCGAAUUAUCGGCGAAACAGAGGUUUGAACGGUGAUUUUGAGUGGGGAAAGUAAAUUUUCUCAAAACGACGUUGUUUUCUAGGUGGGUUUUCAGAGGUAGUUUUGGUUGGGUCCAGUUCCGAGGUCAUUUUUAUUGGGUUGAGAAAAAAGGCCGACCUGACUCCCAUUUGGCCUCGGUUUUUAGAGCUGAGCCCGCACUACCUCCGUCUUUCUUGCCCAGACCUGGUAACCGUUUGGCCCGACCCGGCUAAAAAUCGCCUACCCGACUCAUUUUUCGCGUGUAUACCACGCUCUAUUUUUGCGAGUGAGCCUUCUCGCCCAUGCGCAACAUUUCAACUCUCGCGUGUUGUACAGACUUUUAUACGCUCUCACGCGCGAGAUUGAGUUGCACCCGCCGACGUUUAUCUGCUGGUUUCUGUGAGUUUUUUUCCCACGAUCCUCCACCCAGAUGACAGUUCCUACCAAUAAAGUCACCGUUCACGAUCACCAGUGGGGCGUAGUCCUUGAGUUCGUUGUCCCAGAGGUAGUUUUGGGAAAGAUUUUCCCUUUUUGAGGGAUUUUGAUUUAAGGUUUGGUUUUUGUAGGAUCAGUAUAUACUUCACACUGGCGAAUCGCAGCGGAUUGAGCUUCCUUUUGCUUGCACUCUUUCAGGCAUGGUAUUAACUCUCUCUUACGCUAGAUUUUGACCUGAUGGAGACAGAUUGAUGAAUUCUUAAGGAUUUUAUGUUGUUGCAUUGUGAAUUUGUGAUGCUUGCUUCCUGUAUAUGAUGUAGGGUCUCUCAGCUCAACUAUGCCAUCCAAGAGUGUUUAAUUCAUUCAAAAUUUGCAGAGUUUAUAAACCAUAAUGCUCGAAAUCGAACCCAUGAUUGCAUAGUAUAGGAUGAUCAAAUUAAUAGAGUUGAAGGAUUUGAUGUAUUUAGAAACAUGUAUACCGGUACCGAGAAAAAAAAAUGUUCAUGAUGAACUUAUCAACUCUAUUGAUGAAGUUGUGUUCAUCGCCGGGUUUCUACUAGUUGCAGAGUGUUGUGCUAGUAAGCAGUAGGUGUAAAAUCAUACUAAGGAGAUUGGACAAGAAACAUGUAUGAAAUUAGUGACAAAGUGAUGCGAAUCUGCUGUUUUGAUGUUGGGAUAUGCAUUACUUUGUGUUGGAUUCCUGUCUCGAAAUCGAAACACAAAAUGAGGAUGAGGUAUGCUUGCGAUGCAAAACUGACAUUCUCAGUUCGGCCAGUUUAUGCUCAUUAUUUCCAUUAUAGUUGCAUCUCUACUUCUGUUAUCUGCCAGUUUGGUAGAUAUUUCGCAAGAG
rnacentral:lncRNA from 1 species